CAGCAGCCGCGGGAAUACAGAGGCCUCAAGCGUUGUUCGGAUUCAUUGGGCGUAAAGGGUGCGUAGGUGGCUUGGUAAGUUGAAGGUGAAAUCUCGGGGCUUAACCCCGAAACUGCCUUCAAUACUGCUAGGCUCGAGGACUGUAGAGGAGAAUGGAAUUCACGGUGUAGCAGUGAAAUGCGUAGAUAUCGUGAGGAAGACCAGUGGCGAAGGCGAUUCUCUGGGCAGUUCCUGACACUGAGGCACGAAGGCCAGGGGAGCAAACGGGAUUAGAGACCCCUGUAGUCCCUGUCUCUUAUAC
rnacentral:rRNA from 1 species